AGCGGCGAGCGAAAAGGAAAAAGCCCAAACCCAGCCGUACUUUUGGGGAGUAGAAAUUUCUAUUUCUCAAAAGUACAGCUGGGGGUUGUAAGGCAACAAUAUCCCUCACAUGCGAGAUCUUUAAAGUCGGCUGUAAAAAAAUUAUUUCACGACAUAGAGAUUUGGCAUGUGAGGGAAGAAAGUUACAAAAUGUCUUGUUAAUCGAAUUGGCUGGAAAGCCAGACCCUAGAGGGUAAUGGUCCCGUAGAUAAAAAUAAGACAUCUUUUUUGUUGUUGUUCUUGAGUACUUCGAGACACGAAAAGCUCGGAGGAAUCUGCCGGAACUAACCGGUAAGGCUAAAUACUUUUAGAGACCGAUAGUGAACUAGUACCGUGAGGGAAAGGUGAAAAGCAGCCCGGUGAGGGCGGUGAAAUAGACCUGAAACCAUAUGCUUACAAGGAGUCGGAGCGGACAUCACAUUGUAUGUGAUGCCGCGGAAUUAAGAAGAAACCCGCCCGACACGCAAGACGAGCUUUGCGAGUCGUUGCGGGCGGGGAAUUAAGAAUCAAAGUUUGCAGAAAACUGUGAAGCAAUUUUCUGCUCAUGAUUCCUGAUUCCAUAUUCCUGAUUCUGCGGACAUCGCGCGCAGUGUGAUGUCCGUCACGGCGUGCCUAUUGAAGAAUGAGCCAACGAGUUCUAACGUCCGGCUUGCUUAAGGGGUUUACCCCCGGAAGCGCAGGGAAACCGAGUGUUAAUAGCGCGAAAAUUUUGUCAGACGUUAGAGACCCGAAGCCAAGUGAGCUUGCCAUGAGCAGGGUGAAUCCCGCCGAAAGGCGGGAGGAAGCCCGAACCGAUAUGUCGUGCAAUGCAUCCGGAUGACUUGUGGUAAGAAGUGAAAAGCUAAUCGAACUUGGUAAUAGCUGGUUCUCUCCGAAAGAGCUUUUGGGUUCGCGUCAAGUGUUUCCUAUGGGGGUAGAGCACUGGAAGAUUUGGACAGGGGGAAACCUCACCAAACCUAUCAAACUCCGAAUACCAUAGGUCAGAACUUGGCAGUUAGACUGCGGGGGCUAAGCUCCGUUGGUCAAAAGGGAAACAGCCCAGAUCUCAAGUUAAGGUCCCUAAAUUUACUCUAAGUGCGCUUAAGGCGGUGGAAUUUCUCUGACACUGAGGAGGUUGGCUUAGAAGCAGCCAUCCUUUAAAGAAAGCGUAACAGCUCACUCAGCUAGAGAAUUUGCGCCGAAGAUAAUCGGGGCUAAAGAGUAGUACCGAAACUGAGGAUUCGCCACACCUACUUUGACAUUGUGUCUGCGUGUUGUUUGUAGCUAUUUGUUACAGAGAACGGUAGAUAACCUAAUUGCAGUUUUUCAAAACUGUCAAUGACACAAUGCAACGAUGUCAAAGUAGGUGUGGCGAGUGGUAGGAGAGUAUUCGUAUCUGCUGUGAAGGUGAAGGGGUAACCCACACUGGAGCGAUGCGAAGUAAGAAUGUUGGCACAAGUAACCGCAAUCUCGGUGAGAUACCGAGACGCCGUAAGACCAAGGUUUCCUUGGCGAUGUAGAUCAGCCAAGGGUUAGUCGGUCCUAAGAGGAUGGCGAAAGCCGAACUUAAUGGACACAUGGUUAAUAUUCCAUGACCCCCUCGUUUUUCGAUGGAGUGACGGAGGAAAAAAGUGAAAUCACCUUAUUGGAUUGGUGUUGUUGGCAUGAGAGAUGUUUCCUAGGCAAAUCCGGGAGACUGAUUUGAUUCAAAUCUCGUGUGCAGACAAAAUUUUCCGCUUCGGCGGAAGAGAUUUUCGCGAAGAGCCUUCCUAGAAAAACUUCUAAGUCCACCUUCGGGUGGAAAAGGACGAGGGGACCGUACCGCAAACCGACACAGGUGGUCGAGUCGAGUAGACUAAGGCGAACGAGUGAGAAAUCCCCAAGGAACUCGGCAAAAAAGCAGCCGUAACCUCGGAAUAAGGCUUCCCCUCACAUGCAACAUUUGUAGUAUUUCGUAAUUAAAAUAAAACGCGAAAUAUUAAAAGUGUGGCAUGUGAGGGGUGCAACAAAAGUAUCUCUGGCAACUGUUUAUCAAAAACACAGCUCCCUGCGAACUCGCAAGAGGAUGUAUAGGGGGUGACGCCUGACCAAUGCCAGAAGGUCAAAUAGCGGCGUUUUGCGUGUCUUCGGAUAUGCAAGGUGACUGCUAUAAGCCCUGGUGAAUGUCGGCCGUAACUAUAACGGUCCUAAGGUACUGGGAUUUUCGGAAGAAGAUUUCAGUAGGACUGGGACUGUUAUAGCUAAAGAUAAAUAGUUGAUAUUGAAAUCAUUACGCAAAAAAUAAAACGCUACCUCUCUAUACAGUAAUGUAUAGAUGGUUCCACGGCUCAUAUGAGAGGCCAUACGCCGUGAUUCCAAAAUUGUUUGGAAUAAGACAUGGUCCGGACUUAAGGAAUGUCUGAGCGAAAUUCCUUGUCGGGUAAGUUCCGACGCGCACGAAUGGCGUAAUGACUGGAGAACUGUCUCGGGGAUCCGCUCGGUGAAAAUACAAUACCGGUGAAGAUGCCGGUUACCUGCAGAUAGACGAAAAGACCCCGGGAGCUUUACUGCAACUUGGUAUUGAGGAUAUGUUUUACAUGCGUAGCAUAGGUGGGAGACUUUGAAUCGCUGCUUUUGGGUGGCGUGGAGUCGUCAGUGAAAUACCACUCUUGUGUGAUGUAUUUUCUAACCCCGACGGAAAAAACGUCGAGAGACAUUAUCUGGUGGGCAGUUUUAGUGGGGCGCUAUCCUCCUAAAAAGUAACGGAGGAGUCCAUUAAGGUCAGCUAGGCGCGAAUGGAAACCGUGCCGAUAGUGUAUAGGCAUAAGCUGGCUUAACUGUAAGGCGUACAUGCCAAGCAGAUGCGAAAGCAGGGCUAAGUGAACCGACGGUCCGUAUUAGAUGCGGCCGGAGAUUAUCGGAUAAAAGCUACCCCGGGGAUAACAGGCUAGUUCCGCCUAAGCGUCCAUAGCGACGGCGGAGUUCGGCACCUCGAUGUCGGCUCAUCUUAUCCUGGGGGUGGAGAAGCUCCCAAGGGUUUGGCUGUUCGCCAAUUAAAAAGAUACGCGAGCUGGGUUCAGACCGUUUAUGCGCUGAAGCGCAUUGCGAUACGAAUAUACGAAUGUCAUACGGAUGACACGAAUAAUUCGGCGCAUGGACAGUCUGAAUCCACACAUAACAGACAUAAUCGAGUUUUUCGUUUAUAAACAAAAAUAAAUUAGAUAGAAACAACCAAAUCACGGCGGUCACAUAUAGAAAUAUAUGUGGACAAACUGACUAAUAUCGGUGAAAUCCUGUAUACGAGUGUCUUAACAAAUAGACGCACGAAUAGGACAACACCGAGGGAA
rnacentral:rRNA from 1 species